AGAGUGAACGCUGGCGGUAGGCCUAACACAUGCAAGUCGAACGGCAGCACGGUAAGAGCUUGCUCUUAUGGGUGGCGAGUGGCGGACGGGUGAGGAAUACAUCGGAAUCUACCUUUUGGUGGGGGAUAACGUAGGGAAACUUACGCUAAUACCGCAUACGCCCUUCGGGGGAAAGCCGGGGACCAGCAAUGGCCUGGCGCUGAUAGAUGAGCCGAUGUCGGAUUAGCUAGUUGGUGAGGUAAUGGCUCACCAAGGCGACGAUCCGUAGCUGGUCUGAGAGGAUGAUCAGCCACACUGGAACUGAGACACGGUCCAAGACUCCGUACGGGAGCAGCAGUGGGAAUAGUU
rnacentral:rRNA from 1 species